rnacentral:rRNA from 1 species
AGAGUUUGAUCAUGGCUCAGGACGAACGCUGGCGGCGUGCUUAACACAUGCAAGUCGAACGGAAAGGCCCUUCGGGGUACUCGAGUGGCGAACGGGUGAGUAACACGUGGGUGAUCUGCCCUGCACUUUGGGAUAAGCCUGGGAAACUGGGUCUAAUACCGAAUAGGACUGCGCUCUUCAUGGGGUGUGGUGGAAAGCUUUUGCGGUGUGGGAUGGGCCCGCGGCCUAUCAGCUUGUUGGUGGGGUAAUGGCCUACCAAGGCGACGACGGGUAGCCGGCCUGAGAGGGUGACCGGCCACACUGGGACUGAGAUACGGCCCAGACUCCUACGGGAGGCAGCAGUGGGGAAUAUUGCACAAUGGGCGCAAGCCUGAUGCAGCGACGCCGCGUGGGGGAUGACGGCCUUCGGGUUGUAAACCUCUUUCACCAUCGACGAAGGUUCGGGUUUUCUCGGAUUGACGGUAGGUGGAGAAGAAGCACCGGCCAACUACGUGCCAGCAGCCGCGGUAAUACGUAGGGUGCGAGCGUUGUCCGGAAUUACUGGGCGUAAAGAGCUCGUAGGUGGUUUGUCGCGUUGUUCGUGAAAUCUCACGGCUUAACUGUGAGCGUGCGGGCGAUACGGGCAGACUUGAGUACUGCAGGGGAGACUGGAAUUCCUGGUGUAGCGGUGGAAUGCGCAGAUAUCAGGAGGAACACCGGUGGCGUAGGCGACUAGCUGGGCUGUAACUGACGCUGAGGAACGAAAGCCAGGGGAGCAAAUGGGAUUAGAUACCCCGGUAGUCC